rnacentral:rRNA from 1 species
UACGGGGGGGAGCAAGGCGUUGUUCGGAUUUACUGGGCGUAAAGGGCGCGUAGGCGGCCAGCACAAGUCAGUUGUGAAAUCUCCGAGCUUAACUCGGAAAGGUCAACUGAUACUGUGCGGCUAGAGUGCGGAAGGGGCAACUGGAAUUCUUGGUGUAGCGGUGAAAUGCGUAGAUAUCAAGAGGAACACCUGCGGCGAAGGCGGGUUGCUGGGCCGACACUGACGCUGAUGCGCGAAAGCUAGGGGAGCGAACGGG